AGUCAGCGACGUGAUGGCAUGUGUUAGCUGAAUCCAGAGCUGGUGUAAAUUCUAAAAAGACAGUGACCUU